GACGAACGCUGGCGGCGUGCUUAACACAUGCAAGUCGAACGGUGAAGCUCCAGCUUGCUGGAGUGGAUCAGUGGCGAACGGGUGAGUAACACGUGAGCAACCUGCCCCUGACUCUGGAAUAAGCGCUGGAAACGGCGUCUAAUACUGGAUACGAGGAGGGUCCGCAUGGGCACUUUCUGGAAAGUUUUUCGGUUGGGGAUGGGCUCGCGGCCUAUCAGCUUGUUGGUGAGGUAAUGGCUCACCAAGGCGACGACGGGUAGCCGGCCUGAGAGGGCGACCGGCCACACUGGGACUGAGACACGGCCCAGACUCCUACGGGAGGCAGCAGUGGGGAAUAUUGCACAAUGGGCGAAAGCCUGAUGCAGCGACGCCGCGUGAGGGAUGACGGCCUUCGGGCUGUAAACCUCUUUCAGCAGGGAAGAAGCGAAAGUGACGGUACCUGCAGAAGAAGCACCGGCUAACUACGUG
rnacentral:rRNA from 1 species